GACGUAGGGGGCGAGCGUUGUCCGGAUUUACUGGGCGUAAAGAGCGCGCAGGCGGUCGUAUAAGUCGCGUGUGAAAGCCCCCGGCUCAACUGGGGAGGGUCACGCGAUACUGUUCGACUCGAAGGCAGGAGAGGGAAGUGGAAUUCCCGGUGUAGUGGUGAAAUGCGUAGAUAUCGGGAGGAACACCAGUGGCGAAGGCGACUUCCUGGCCUGUUCUUGACGCUGAGGCGCGAAAGCUAGGGUAGCAAACGGG
rnacentral:rRNA from 1 species